GGMAWYMCUCCUACGGGAGGCAGCAGUGGGGAAUCUCGCACAAUGGGGGAAACCCUGAUGCAGCGACGCCGCGUGAGUGAUGAAGCCCUUCGGGGUGUAAAGCUCUUUCGGCAGGGAAGAUGAUGACGGUACCUGCAGAAGCAGCUGCGGCUAACUACGUGCCAGCAGCCGSGGUAAUACGUAGGCAGCGAGCGUUGUUCGGAGUUACUGGGCGUAAAGGGUGUGUAGGCGGUUGUUUAAGUUUGGUGUGAAGUCUCCCGGCUCAACUGGGAGGGUGCGCCGAAUACUGAAUGACUUGGAGUGCGGGAGAGGUGAGUGGAAUUCCUGGUGUAGCGGUGAAAUGCGUAGAUAUCAGGAGGAACACCGGUGGUGUAGACGGCUCACUGGACCGUAACUGACGCUGGGACACGAAAGCGUGGGUAGCAAACAGGAUUAGAUACCCUGGUAGUCCACGCCCUAAACGAUGCAUAUUUGGUGUGGGCAGUUCAUUCUGUCCGUGCCGGAGCUAACGCGUUAAAUAUGCCGCCUGGGGAGUACAGUCGCAAGGCUGAAACUCAAAUGAAUUGACGG
rnacentral:rRNA from 1 species